rnacentral:rRNA from 1 species
CUGCGAAGGUGUGUCGUGAGGCAUGCUGGAGGUAUCAGAAGUGCGAAUGCUGACAUAAGUAACGAUAAAGCGGGUGAAAAGCCCGCUCGCCGGAAGACCAAGGGUUCCUGUCCAACGUUAAUCGGGGCAGGGUGAGUCGACCCCUAAGGCGAGGCCGAAAGGCGUAGUCGAUGGGAAACGGGUUAAUAUUCCCGUACUUGGUGUUACUGCGAAGGGGGGACGGAGAAGGCUAUGUUGGCCGGGCGACGGUUGUCCCGGUUUAAGCGUGUAGGUGUGUGUUCCAGGUAAAUCCGGUUCACUUUAACACUGAGGCGUGAUGACGAGGCACUACGGUGCUGAAGCAACAAAUGCCCUGCUUCCAGGAAAAGCCUCUAAGCAUCAGGUAACAUCAAAUCGUACCCCAAACCGACACAGGUGGUCAGGUAGAGAAUACCAAGGCGCUUGAGAGAACUCGGGUGAAGGAACUAGGCAAAAUGGUGCCGUAACUUCGGGAGAAGGCACGCUGACACGUAGGUGAAGUGAUUUACUCAUGGAGCUGAAGUCAGUCGAAGAUACCAGCUGGCUGCAACUGUUUAUUAAAAACACAGCACUGUGCAAACACGAAAGUGGACGUAUACGGUGUGACGCCUGCCCGGUGCCGGAAGGUUAAUUGAUGGGGUCAGCGCAAGCGAAGCUCCUGAUCGAAGCCCCGGUAAACGGCGGCCGUAACUAUAACGGUCCUAAGGUAGCGAAAUUCCUUGUCGGGUAAGUUCCGACCUGCACGAAUGGCGUAAUGAUGGCCAGGCUGUCUCCACCCGAGACUCAGUGAAAUUGAACUCGCUGUGAAGAUGCAGUGUACCCGCGGCAAGACGGAAAGACCCCGUGAACCUUUACUAUAGCUUGACACUGAACAUUGAGCCUUGAUGUGUAGGAUAGGUGGGAGGCUUUGAAGUGUGGACGCCAGUCUGCAUGGAGCCGGCCUUGAAAUACCACCCUUUAAUGUUUGAUGUUCUAACGUGGACCCGUGAUCCGGGUUGCGGACAGUGUCUGGUGGGUAGUUUGACUGGGGCGGUCUCCUCCUAAAGAGUAACGGAGGAGCACGAAGGUUGGCUAAUCCUGGUCGGACAUCAGGAGGUUAGUGCAAUGGCAUAAGCCAGCUUGACUGCGAGCGUGACGGCGCGAGCAGGUGCGAAAGCAGGUCAUAGUGAUCCGGUGGUUCUGAAUGGAAGGGCCAUCGCUCAACGGAUAAAAGGUACUCCGGGGAUAACAGGCUGAUACCGCCCAAGAGUUCAUAUCGACGGCGGUGUUUGGCACCUCGAUGUCGGCUCAUCACAUCCUGGGGCUGAAGUAGGUCCCAAGGGUAUGGCUGUUCGCCAUUUAAAGUGGUACGCGAGCUGGGUUUAGAACGUCGUGAGACAGUUCGGUCCCUAUCUGCCGUGGGCGCUGGAGAACUGAGGGGGGCUGCUCCUAGUACGAGAGGACCGGAGUGGACGCAUCACUGGUGUUCGGGUUGUCAUGCCAAUGGCACUGCCCGGUAGCUAAAUGCGGAAGAGAUAAGUGCUGAAAGCAUCUAAGCACGAAACUUGCCCCGAGAUGAGUUCUCCCUGAGACUUAGAGUCUCCUGAAGGAACGUUGAAGACGACGACGUUGAUAGGCCGGGUGUGUAAGCGCAGCGAUGCGUUGAGCUAACCGGUACUAAUGAACCGUGAGGCUUAACCUUACAACGCCGAAG